GGUUUCGUGAUUUUUGGAAGCUUACGUCGCGAGCAGCAACAAUCUGUACCGAAAUCGGCCUUUUCUUCAAUAUCUUCGCGUAGCCUCGUCGUAUCGCCGAACCGACUUCACCAACUCAUCAGAAAACCUAGCAAUUAGGUUUAUACAUGCUCAAUUUAGAUCAAACCUCUAUAUAUAGCAAAACCCCAAUUUGAGCCUUAACAUGCUACUAUUGCAAGAAAUCACCAAAUUGGAACUUGAUUCAUGCAAUUAACAUGUUAUUAGCAUCUAGGGAGUUCUCUAAACCCAUUCUUAGAGCAUACGAAUCAUUCCUUAGCAAUCUACUAUAGUUACUACCAAAGCUUACCUCCAAAGCUUUCUCUAAUAGAGAGGAAGAAGAUGAAAGCUUGAGCUCCAAGCUACUCUCCAACAUUCAAGGAUUCUACUCCAACUUCUUCUCCAAUUAAUCCUCUUUUGUGGAGAGAUUAGAAGAGAAAAGGAGUGAGGGGUGAGAGCUAGAGAGAAAGAGAGAAAAGGAGAAAAGAAACUUGCUCUCCAAGUCUCUCUCGGGUUGGGCACAAAGGAGAAAAGAGUGCAAGUUCACAUAUAUAUAUAGGCCCCCAAAAUACUUCAUCUAGCAGUUAAGCAGUUCGGAACAGUCGGAGCCCUUCUGGAUAUCCAAUGGUGCUCAAAUUUUACAGUCAGUCUCGGUUUUCCUUACUAAGAAAGAGUAUAUCUUAAGUUUUCAGUUUCGACCACGUUUGGUCACCGAAAGCUCUACCGAACUGUAAUCUUUAGCAGAUAGCAGUCGGAUUUAAUUUCCUACCUUCCGGGUGUCAGAAUGUCAUGAAACUUUAAAUCUAGCCUCAUAAAAAUAAUCCUAACAUAUUCCCAGAUUUUUGAAAUUUUUUGACACUAUGCAUUUUCUGCUAAAUAACAGUCUCGAUUCACACAGAAAAUUCAAAAUCUUCUAUUCUCGCUCCGAUUUCCGCACGAGUCGAUCCCGACUUAUAUUUUACUUCUAUAAGUCCAAUAAAAAUAGUAUCUCACACUAUUUUUAUUUAUACCCUAUUUUAAAAUCCGGUAUGCUACAUUCUACACCCCUUAAAAGAGUUUCGUCCUCGAAACUUCAAUCACACCUCAACUCGACCUAUCGA
rnacentral:lncRNA from 1 species